ACUAUGGAAGGAUGUAUCUUAAAAUUCUUAGCCUAGUGAAGGCAUAGUUAUCCAUACUAAUAAAAACCAUAGCUCUCCUGCCUUUUUCCAAGCUCUUUGUCUCAAAGGACAUAUUACUUGCUUCUUUGUUUAGGCCUCACUGUAUCUUUCUGGCUCAGCAUGCCUUCAGAGGCUCUGAAAGUAGUCAGAAGGCAGAAGUGUGAAGAUUUCUCCAUGAUGUCAUCAAUAAGGCAGCACUGACCUCAGAACCUAAUUCAUCUUGAGCAUCGUACAUAUCAAGCAACACUUUCUCUUCUUGCUGAGGAGAGAGAAAAUGUAUUUUCUGCUGAUUGUGUCCAGAGGUAACUCCUCCAAAAAGAAACAGACAGACAAACAAAAAAACCCCACAUUCUGUAGCCAAAGAAAAUGGGAUGAAUUUGAGGCAGCCAAAACAGCCAAUGUUCACUCCCCCACUUUCACAGAAGAUGCUAAUUUUAAGUAACACCAGGGGAUGGCAGGAGCGAACCCUGUCACAAGCAAUGUGACCAGCAGACUGUGGGGAUCUCUGAGACCAGAAGUCGCAGGAGAAAAAGGAAAAGAGCCUGUAACGGAAGCCUUUGAUGUCAUUGGGAAAAUGUGGUCCUAACUUAAAACUAAGAUUACUUUGCUCUGUCAUUACUUUGCCAAAUCAAACCCUUUGAGAAGAUAAGCCAUAUUGUUCUUUUUAUUGCAACUUGUCUUUAGGUUGCUCUGUAAAUGACCAUAUUAAGAUGAACUGCGUUUUGAUAAUUCUGAAAGUAGCUUGCCAACAGCUUGGCAUUGAAGACCUUCCCUUCAGCAACAGAUCAAACAUUUACAAAGCACAUAUUGUGUGGCUAACAGCAUACCUGACCCUGUAAUAUAUAAAGGAAGAAAUACAAGACCUUGUUCAUUUGAUUGAAGUUAGAUUUUUGCUAGAAAACAAUAAAAUAUAUGAUAAAACACUGACUCAUGUGACAUGUACUAUAUAGAAUAAAUGUUCUGAGGACAGAAUAAUGUGUGACAUCAGGGAGGCUUUAGAGAAAGUUAGAGUUUGUUGGGCCUUAAAAGGUAAACAGAGAAUAUAUAGGUAGAAAGGAGAGAAGGGAAGACCAAGAAAGAGAUUAUGGAGCCUAGAGA